GUAUGCUACGGUCAUGCUGGCGCGGUGAUACGGUGGGUGUAAGGGGUAAUCGGAAGUACGGGGCGUAAGGGGCACGCAGGCGGUUGGAUAAGAUAGCUGUGAAGGCCCCGGGCUCAACCGUGGAAUUGCAUUUAAAACUGGCCAGGUAGAGGCUUGUAGAGGGGGGUAGAAUUCCAGGUGUAGCGGUGAAAUGCGUAGAGAUCUGGAGGAAUACCGGUGGCGAAGGCGGCCCCCUGGACAAAGACUGACGCUCAGGUGCGAAAGCGUGGGGAGCAAACAGGAUUAGAUACCCGGGUAGUC
rnacentral:rRNA from 1 species